rnacentral:rRNA from 1 species
GACGUAGGGCGCGAGCGUUGUCCGGAUUUAUUGGGCGUAAAGAGCUCGUAGGCGGCUUGUUGCGUCAGCUGUGAAAGCCCAUGGCUUAACUGUGGGUUGGCAGCUGAUACGGGCAGGCUAGAGUUCGGUAGGGGAGACUGGAAUUCCUGGUGUAGCGGUGAAAUGCGCAGAUAUCAGGAGGAACACCGGUGGCGAAGGCGGGUCUCUGGGCCGAUACUGACGCUGAGGAGCGAAAGCGUGGGGAGCGAACAGGAUUAGAUACCCUGGUAGUCCACGCUGUAAACGUUGGGCGCUAGGUGUGGGGGGCCUCUCCGGUUUCCUGUGCCGUAGCUAACGCAUUAAGCGCCCCGCCUGGGGAGUACGGCCGCAAGACUAAA